CAAGAUGAAAUGACAUACUGAAACCUAGGAUCCAUGCUUACAAUAAGCUUCGAUAUUUAAACCAAAUUAGACCCCACCAUAGUUUUCUGUUGAAUCAAUGAUUUGAUCCUUACCAAAGUGUGAAUAGUAGACUGUCAGAAUCUUAC